CAUCACCAUCAUUAUCAUCAUCACUGCACACAGAAAGAGUUAGGUAAUCAUCAUCAUCAUCAUCAUCAUCAUUAUCAUCAUCAUCAUCGUCACCAUUAUCAUCAUCAUCAUCAUCAUUGCAUCAUCAUCAUUGUCACUGCACACAGAAAGAGUUAGGUAAUCAUCAUCAUCAUCAUCGUUAUCAUCAUCAUUAUCAUCAUCAUCAUCGUCAUCAUUAUCAUCAUCAUCGUCAUCAUUGCAUCAUCAUCAUCGUCACUGCACACAGAAAGAGUUCGGUAAUCAUCAUCAUCAUCAUCAUCAUUAUUAUCAUCAUCAUCAUCAUUAUCAUCGUCAUCAUCGUCAUCAUUAUCAUCAUCAUCGUCAUCAUUGCAUCAUCAUCAUCGUCACUGCACACAGAAAGAGUUCGGUAAUCAUCAUCAUCAUCGUUAUCAUCAUUAUUAUCAUUAUCAUCAUCAUCAUUAUUAUCAUCAUCAUCAUCAUUAUCAUCAUCAUCGUCAUCAUUGCAUCAUCAUCAAUGUCACUGCACACAGAAAGAGUUAGGUAAUCAUCAUCAUCAUCAUCAUCAUUAUCAUCAUCAUCAUCGUCACCAUUAUCAUCAUCAUCAUCAUCAUUGCAUCAUCAUCAUUGUCACUGCACACAGAAAGAGUUAGGUAAUCAUCAUCAUCAUCAUGAUCGUCAUCAUUAUUAUCAUCAUCAUCGCCAUCAUCAUCAUCCUCACUGCACACAGAAAGAGUUGGGUAAUCAUCAUCAUUAUUAUUAUCAUCAUCAUCAUCAUCAUCGUCACUGCACACAGAAAGAGUUAGGAAAUCAUCAUUAUUAUCAACAUCAUCAUCAUU
ensembl:lncRNA